UAGCCUAGUGGUUAAGGCUAUGGACCGCCAAUCCGGAGACGGCGGGUUCGAUUCUCGU
rnacentral:tRNA from 1 species